rnacentral:rRNA from 1 species
AUUAAGUUUAAUUUAAUAUAGGAUCUGCUCAAUGAUUUAUUAAAUAGCUGCAGUAUUUUGACUGUGCAAAGGUAGCAUAAUAAUUAGUCUUUUAAUUGAGGACUUGUAUGAAAGAUUUGAUGAGAAAUAAACUUUAUUAUCUAUAUAAUUAAAAUUUUAUUUUUAAGUAAAAAAGCUUAAAUUAUUUAAAGGGACGAUAAGACCCUAUAAAACUUUAUAAAUAGUAAUUUUGAUUUUUUUGGGUUAUAAAUAUUUUAAUUUUAUUAUUUAUUUUAUUGGGGUGAUAAAAAAAAUUGUUAAACUUUUUUUAAAAUUUUACAUUAUUUAAUGAAUACUUGAAUUAAAAUUUUUAAUUAAAGGAAAAAGUUACUUUAGGGAUAACAGCGUAAUUAAUUUUUUAAGUUCAAAUUUAAAAAUUAGUUUGCGACCUCGAUGUUGAAUUAAGAUUAAUCUUAGGUGCAAAAUUUUAAGUAUUAGGUCUGUUCGACCUUUAAAUUCUUACGUGA